CUACGGGCGGCAGCAGUGGGGAAUCUUGGACAAUGGGCGCAAGCCUGAUCCAGCCAUGCCGCGUGAGUGAUGAAGGCCUUAGGGUCGUAAAGCUCUUUCGCCAGGGAUGAUAAUGACAGUACCUGGUAAAGAAACCCCGGCUAACUCCGUGCCAGCAGCCGCGGUAAUACGGAGGGGGUUAGCGUUGUUCGAAAUUACUGGGCGUAAAGCGCGCGUAGGCGGACCAGAAAGUUGGGGGUGAAAUCCCGGGGCUCAACCCGGAACGGCCUCCAAAACUCCUGGUCUUGAGUUCGGGAGAGGUGAGUGGAAUUCCGAGUGUAGAGGUGAAAUUCGUAGAUAUUCGGAGGAACACCAGUGGCGAAGGCGACUCACUGGCUCGAUACUGACGCUGAGGUGCGAAAGUGUGGGGAGCAAACAGGAUUAGAUACCCUCGUAGUC
rnacentral:rRNA from 1 species